rnacentral:rRNA from 1 species
CAGCGCCACAAGUGGGGAUCCUGUUUAUUUGGCCUAAAGCGUCCGUAGCUGGUUAUGUAAAUCUUUUGUGAAAUUGUUUCACUUAAUGAAACAGCGUGCAGGAGAGACUGCUUAACUCGGGACCGGGAGGAGUCAGAGGUAUGCUGUGGGGAGCGGUAAAAUGCUAUAAUCCUCGGUAGACCACCUGUGGCGAAGGCGUCUGACUAGAACGGGUUCGACAGUGAGGGACGAAAGCCAGGGGAGCAAACCGGAUUAGAUACCCGAGUAGUCC